GUGUCUUACUGGAGAUCCCAGCCUACAAGAGGUCUUCUGUAGAUGUGAAGGUGACCAGCUGUUGGUUGAGUACUGCAGAGACCUUUGGAGAACCAUACGUGUUCAGCUGGGGAUGAAGGGCUAAAUUCAGACCAUUUGUGCUCUUGGCAUGAUACUCACCCUCAUCAGUGCUGUGUUUGCUUUAGAAGUCUGACUUAGCUGGCAUGUCUCCGUCAUUGGCUAAUGAGGAUUAAUUCUGAUUCUCUUCAGGCUUCAGAGAAACAGAUUGUGGAGGGGCUUUCAUCACAGGGGGAAUUAAGGAAGCUAGCAAAGCAUCUUAACCCAAACCACACCACUGAUGGCUUUCAGUCAAAAAGGAGGACAGAUGAGAUUAACCUAAAACCCCUUUGCUUCCUUGUGGGGACUAUAAACCCCAAUGCCAAGUGAGAGAAGAAUGCAGGAAAAGAAUCAUUUUAAUGUGGAUGUGUAAGAAACUGGACCACCAAGUCCAUUCCACAUCGGCCACUGAGCAGUCAUCAGAGGGUGUUGACUUUUGACCACUACUGUUUUUGUUAACAAGGAAAAUAAAACCAUAUGUUGCCUAAGUAGAUGCACAAAACUUUUCUCCAAAUCCCUACAGACAAACUGUCAGCAGCAAAAGUAUUUACUUUGGUAAUGCAGCUGGGCUUAAUCCCAGCCCCAUUGUGUUUGUGCAUGCCUUUUCACCACUGAGCUCAAUAACACGCUGCUUGCGAAGAGGGUGAAUGAAUGCAUGCAGCAUGAUUUCUGUUAUUAGGCCUAUCGGUUACAUCCUGAGACAAAAGGCUGGAAUCAACAAUGGUAGCACUACAUAAGCACUGCUCAUGCUUUGAGUUAGGCUAAGUGGAAAUCUUAGUCAUAAGUCACAUCAACUAGCCAUCAGCUUGAGGUAGGCCAGCAGGACUUGGCCCAGUGGUGCGGAUCCUCAGCUGGCUUAAAUCAGCGUAAAGCCAGUGUAGUCCAAGGAGCCCCAGCUGAGGAUUCUGGCGCCUACUGUCUAUUUGUGAGCUUAGUGGUUGCUGAAUACUUAAUUUGCCAGGCUGCAAGCUGCUGCGGCUGAGCAGCUGGGGGUAGCAUAGCCUGGUGGGUCCCCAGCUGGGACCUCUGCAGGUAUAGACA